ACAUCACUGAAUGAAACUGCUUCAAUACGAAAGCUUACAAGUGAAGAUAUAGAUAGGAGAGGAUUUUGAUGGCGAGUAUGGUUAUCGAAUGAUUGAACUUUCAAACCUAGCAAGUGCAUUUCAGUCCUUGCAUAAUUGGGAAUUAGGCGGAGAGUUGAAAGUUACCGAUGAUGAGUCUCCUAGAUAUGGAAAUAGCACAGUCAUUGUUGAGUCAGAUAUUGCAGAGAUUGCUGUGAGUUAUGAUAGCACAUGGUCUAAGUGCGAGGGUUCACUGCAAACUUUGGAAUUGAUUUUGUUAUUUCGGUUGACACAGGUAACUCCAAUCUUGGGUGUGCUUCUUAUCAUCUUGGGCUUUAUAUCUGUUGUUUGAACCUGUCUAGGGGCAAAUUGAAAAGAGUCAGGGUGAUAUUGUUGCAGACAAGGAUGUUAUCAUUCGUCGUUCAUGGUUGAAUGAUGCGAAACAUAUGUUACGCUGAUACAGACAGAGCCACAGCAUCGGCAGUCCUUAUAUUGUGGGUUUGGUAUGUAAUAUACAAUUUCUUUUACCUAAA